rnacentral:misc_RNA from 1 species
AAUCUGAACGUGUCCAUGAAUAUAAUUUUGAUCAUCCUGAUGCCUUUGACACAGAACAGCUGUUGGAGUGCAUGGAGCAGCUCAAAAGUGGGCAAUCUUUCAAUGUUCCUAUAUAUGAUUUUAAGAACCACCGAAGAUGCUCUGAGAGUUUCCGAAAGGUCAAUGCAUCUGACGUCAUUAUCUUGGAGGGAAUAUUAGUCUUCCAUGAUCCUCGAGUCCGUAACUUGAUGGACAUGAAGAUUUUCGUUGACACAGAUGCUGAUGUUAGACUUGCCCGAAGAAUAAGACGUGAUAUAGUUGAGAGAGGUAGAGAUGUGAAUUCAGUCCUCGAACAGUAUGCGAGAUUUGUCA